ensembl:lncRNA
GUAAAGUUUACUAUGAAUGAAACACUGCAGUGAGUUUUCAUCGAGCUUCUGUAUAGCAGCCCUUUUCUCUCUCCUACUCUAACAAGUGUAAUCCUGCAACACAAAAUUGUGCAAUUCAUGAGUAAUUCAUUGCUCAGUUUCUUAUUCAUCUACGUUUUGCGUAAGGGUCUCGUGGAAAUUAGCCAUCUUCUGAGUCCUUUCACAGCAGAGAGAAAGCGAGUGAGUCACACCCUGGAACGUAAGGGUUCUUACACUGUAAGAUGAUGUGCUAAGAACUGAAGACCGCACAAUUUGGGGGGAUGAAGGCAGAGAUGUGAUUGAAAAAGCAUACUAAUAUAAUGUACAUGUGUGAGAAAGAGCUAAUACUGAAGUGAACAAGUGCAACAGAACUAAGGUUUAUAUUGAAAAGAUAUGGAUUUGAAGAGUGGUUUCAGUGGAUGAGGAAUUGGUUGGAUUAUUUCAGAGGAUUAUGGUCAAAGGCGGAGGCUGGUGGUGAGUGGUGGCCCCAGGGAGUCCACCUUGGGAUGUAUUCAUCAACAUCUUUAUAAAUGACCUAAAUAGUGGGAUCGAGUGCACCUUCAACAAGUUUGCUGAUCACAUUAAGCUGAGUGGUGGAGUUGAUAUAACAGAAGGAAGGAAUGCCGUGCAAAGAGACAGACUCGAUAAGUGGGCCCACAGAACCUAGUGAGGUUCAACAAGGCCAAGUGGUGUAUUUGAGUUGGAGCAAUCCCAGACGUCCACAAACUAGAAGAAGAAUUCAUUGGGAGCAGCCCUGCAGAGAAGGACUUGGGGUUUCUGAUGGAUAAAGAGCUUGAUGCAAGCCAACAGUACGUGCUUGCAGUGCAGAAGGCCAACUGUCUCCUGAGCUGCAUAAUAAAGGUGUUGCCAGCAGGGUGAGGGAAGUGUCUGCCCUCUGCUCUGCCCGUGUGGCUCCACCUGGAGUACUGUGCUCAGGUCUGGGGCCCUCAGCAUAAAGAAAGACUUAAAGCUGUUGGUGCAGAUGGAGGAAGGCCACAGAGAUGAUCAUCUCUCUUAUGUGGAAAAGUUGAGGGAUCUGGGCAGGUUCUGUUUGGAGAAUAGAAGUCUCUGGUGAGACUCCAGUGAAUGGAGUUUACAAAUAUGAGGGAGAUUACAUGAUUUGAUAAUGAUGGGACAAGGAAGAAUGGUUUUAAACUAAAAGAGGGGAGGCUUAGGUUAGAUAUUAUGCAGAAUUUUUUUUAUAUAGGACAGUGGUAAGGCACUUGAACAGGUUACCCCAUCCCUGGAGGCAUUCAAGGUGAUGUUGGAUCGGGCCCUGGGCAGCCUGACCUAGUGGUUGGCAAUCCUGCCCAUGGCAAGAUUGAUUAGAACAUGGCAAGAUGGGUUAGAACUGGAUGGUAUUAAAGGUCCCUUCCAACUCAAGCCAUUCUAUGAUUUCAUCUAUAAAAAAUGUGUUUUAUGGAACAAAAUUAGCACCCCACUUGUACUACUUCAAAAGAACAGUAAAUUCUCUUCUGAAACCAAAAGCAAAUUUUAAAUUAAGAUUUCUUUCUUAUUUUUGCAGGAAAUACAUUUCAAAAAGUUCUGACUUUUUAGUAAAAUUUAUCAAGGAAACCAACCAGCAAAGUCAGGUGCUGAAGGAUUUGGGGAGAAAUAGGAGUGCUGUGCUUUGCCAGAAAGGUCGCAUGCGAUCAGCCUCAGCAUACACUAGAGAGAAGCUCCCCAUGAAGAUCUGCAGAACUUGAAGAGUGAGAACAGGACCCUGCAGUUAUAGAGAGAAGGGCCUCACAGCAAGAAAAGGGAAAGUAGCUUCACAAAGUAGAAAUAAGGGGCAAAUAGAGAUAGUUUAGGUAGAGAGUGUUAGAAAACAAGGGAUUCCAAGCACUUUCACAGACACUAGGUCUGGAAUAACAAGAAGGAUGAAGGCCAUAAAGAUAAGUACUGGAGAGCAGCUCAAAAACAUUUGGCAGGGAGGUGAUUAGAUGUCUACAGGGCAAGCUGAAACCAGUUUGGGGGAUGCCCCCCCCUUCAGGGUCAGAAGUUUGCAGUGAGGAAGACUAUGAGCCUUCGCGAGGAAGACUAUGAGCCUUCAUCAUCACGACCUACUACACAUGCGCAAGGGGGGGAGGGACUGCAUGCUACUGGGCUCUCAGGAAUGUAAUGAACAUGUAUCCAAAUUCCUGUCAACUAUUGAUUAUGUAUUAGUUCGACCUAUAUCUAUAGCACGAUUUCUCCUGACGGUGUGCAAGUUAGGUGGAACGAUCCCCUUUGCACCAGGGUGUACACGCGUCACCAAUAAACACAUACCUGCUCUAUAUCCUCACUGGCUAUAGGGUCUGAUUUCUGCACAUCAAACUACCUCUUUCUUUUUCCACACACAAACCUGCGAAACUUACCUCUGAAGUGCCAAAACUUGUUUCCACUUCCAAACAGACCUCCCUCUGACAUGGGCAGACUGAUACCACCUCUUUUCAUUUUGUCCCUGCAUAUAUCCCUACCCAUUUCAUGUCUCUCUUUACUACUCUGUGCACCAGUGGUGUGAGACAGAGAUUUUUUUGUUCUGUAACUAUAUACUUUGCAGCAUCAAGGAAUCUCGGUCUUGAGUAUGCCUCCAAAGUGUUGCUGUGGUAGAAAUAAUUAUGCAGUGGAAAAAUAGAACUGGAUGAUCUUAUAGCUUUUUCUUUGCCUCAGGCCACGAAGACAAACUGGAAAGAACUAUUCAUUAUUUCUGCUGAGUUAUAUAAUUGCCAAGUCCUUUGCAGAAGGUUGAUAAUCAUGAUAAUUCUCAUUUUAUAUUGGGCAUAGACCAGAAUGUUGUGCUGUGGUUUGGCUGGUUUUGUUCCUUCUAUAUUAAUAAUAAACUAUGUGUGACGAAAACAAAACACCUUCUACUGCACUUUUGAAGAUAGCAAUCUAGUCAUUUCAUUGCUACCUUAAGUUUUACUCUUGACAUACAGAAAAUAUAUCAGUAACCAAAUUUCAUUAGUAGUUUCCCGAAUUCUGAGGAAAGUGCUUUGAAAAGCUUUCCCUGUGAGACUUUAUUGCUAGCAAAAUUAAAAGAUUUUCUUGGUAAAUAUGAAGAAGAUGACUUUCAAAAUUCGGAGUAAAUCCUUCAAGUUUUAAAAAAACAUUACUUUUAUUUUAAAAUACUUUAGAGAUGAAUCUAUAGAAAUAUCUUUGAAACCACAUUAAUUCCAGUAUAAAUUUCAUGUAGCAGUAAUACAGAGCAGACACACCACUCAUUACUUUAAAUCAUUUGCAUUCUGUACAUGCAAAAGCAAAUAAUCCACUUUAUAAUAUGUGACAAAAUCUCAGUUGAUAAGCAAAUGAAAAUGGAAAAUUAUUGAAGUCAAAGGGAAAAAAGAAAAUCCUGAAUUGAACUAACAAAACAAAACAAACAAGAACAACAACAAAACAAAACAAAACAACCACACCUACAGUUUUCCAGGACAAGCAAGAUUUACCAGCUGCCAAACUGUAACACUGGGCAAAAUCCAUGGAUGAGGUUUGCUUUCCUUCCUUCCCCGUAUUUUUUUUUUUUUAACAUCUUUUUUUCAGUAAGAAACAUAAAUCACAGAAUCAAAGAACGGCCCAAGCUGGAAAGUCCACCCAUUGGCUCCACACAGGACCACCCAAAAAUCAGACCAUAUGUCUGAGAGCAUUGUCCAAAUGCUCCUUAACUCUAGCAGUUUGGUACCAUGACCACAGCCCUGGGAAGUAUGUUCCAGUGCCUGACCACCC